rnacentral:misc_RNA from 1 species
GUAUGUAGGUGGGACUGGGUGUGAUUCAGAUUCUGAGAGUGACUACGUUGAUGGGUCGAAGAGUUCUUUAUCACCUGAGAAGCUCUUGUACUCGUUGGAAUAUGCUGGAAAGGAUUUGAAGGUGGUGAGGAUGGCAGUGCCCCUGAGAGAUAUGGAAAAUGAGGAUCUGUUGGAUUAUUUGAAUGUGUGUUACGAUUUCAUUGAGCGGGGUAGAAAAGAGGGAUCUGUUCUGGUGCAUUGCUUUGCUGGAGUAUCUAGAAGUGCUGCCAUCAUCACAGCAUAUCUUAUGAGAAGGGAACAGCUAUCUCUAGAAGAUGCACUUGGUUCCUUACGACAAAGCAACGAAUUUGUCAG